rnacentral:ncRNA from 1 species
CGAAAACAGAGUAGCAGGGUGGUGUCUCCUGCGCUUCCUUCUGAGGGAGUUCUGCUUCGUCCACG